rnacentral:rRNA from 1 species
AGGCGGGACAAUAAGUCAGCGGUGAAAGUCUGUGGCUCAACCAUAGAAUUGCCAUUGAUACUGUUGUUCUUGAGUGUUUAUGAAGUGGUUAGAAUAUGUAGUGUAGCGGUGAAAUGCUUAGAUAUUACAUGGAAUACCGAUUGCGAAGGCAGAUCACUAAUAAAAUACUGACGCUGAUGGACGAAAGCGUAGGUAGCGAACAGGAUUAGAUACCCUGGUAGUCUACGCCGUAAACGAUGGUUACUAGCUGUUCGGUCGUAAGACUGAGUGGCUAAGCGAAAGUGAUAAGUAACCCACCUGGGGAGUACGUUCGCAAGAAUGAAACUCAAAGGAAUUGACGGGGGCCCGCACAAGCGGUGGAGCAUGUGGUUUAAUUCGAUGAUACGCGAGGAACCUUACCAGGGCUUAAAUGUAGCUUGACCGAUUUGGAAACAGAUCUUUCGCAAGACAAGUUACAAGGUGCUGCAUGGUUGUCGUCAGCUCGUGCCGUGAGGUGUCAGGUUAAGUCCUAUAACGAGCGCAACCCCUGUUGUUAGUUGCCAGCGAGUAAUGUCGGGAACUCUAACAAGACUGCCGGUGCAAACCGUGAGGAAGGUGGGGAUGACGUCAAAUCAUCACGGCCCUUACGUCCUGGGCCACACACGUGCUACAAUGGUAGGGACAGAGAGCAGCCACUGGGUGACCAGGAGCGAAUCUACAAACCCUAUCUCAGUUCGGAUCGGAGUCUGCAACUCGACUCCGUGAAGCUGGAA